rnacentral:rRNA from 1 species
UACGGAGGGUGCAAGCGUUAUCCGGAUUCACUGGGUUUAAAGGGUGCGUAGGUGGGCAAGUAAGUCAGUGGUGAAAUCUCCGGGCUUAACCCGGAAACUGCCAUUGAUACUAUUUGUCUUGAAUACUGUGGAGGUCAGCGGAAUAUGUCAUGUAGCGGUGAAAUGCUUAGAUAUGACAUAGAACACCAAUUGCGAAGGCAGCUGGCUACACAAAUAUUGACACUGAGGCACGAAAGCGUGGGGAUCAAAC